rnacentral:rRNA from 1 species
UACGUAGGGUGCGAGCGUUAAUCGGAAUUACUGGGCGUAAAGCGUGCGCAGGCGGUUCGCUGUGUCCGAUGUGAAAGCCCCGGGCUUAACCUGGGAAUGGCAUUGGAAACUGGCGGGCUUGAGUGCGGCAGAGGGGGGUGGAAUUCCGCGUGUAGCAGUGAAAUGCGUAGAGAUGCGGAGGAACACCGAUGGCGAAGGCAGCCCCCUGGGUUAACACUGACGCUCAGGCACGAAAGCGUGGGGAGCAAACAGG